rnacentral:rRNA from 1 species
GAUUGGAAUGGAGGCACUCUGAUCCAGCCAUGCCGCGUGAAGGAUGAAGGCGCUACGCGUUGUAAACUUCUUUUCUCUUAGAAAAAACUACUGGUUUCGUACCGGUACUGAUUGUACAAGAGGAAUAAGCAUCGGCUAACUUCGUGCCAGCAGCCGCGGUAAUACGAAGGAUGCAAGCGUUAUCCGGAUUCACUGGGUUUAAAGGGUGUGCAGGUGGGGUAACAAGUCAGUGGUGAAAGCCCCCGACUCAAUCGGGGAACUGCCAUAGAUACUGUUAUUCUUGGGUGUAGUUGAGGCAGAUGGAAUAUGACAUGUAGCGGUGAAAUGCUUAGAUAUGUCAUAGAACACCGAUCGCGAAGGCAGUCUGCCAAACUAUUACUGACACUGAAACACGAAAGUGCGGGGAUCAAACAGGAUUAGAUACCCUGGUAGUCCGCACCGUAAACGAUGAUCACUCGUUGUUGGCGAUAUACAGUCAGCGACUAAGCGAAAGCAUUAAGUGAUCCACCUGGGAAGUACGACCGCAAGGUUGAAACUCAAAGGAAUUGACGGA